rnacentral:rRNA from 1 species
GACGAAGGGGGCUAGCGUUGUUCGGAAUUACUGGGCGUAAAGCGCGUGUAGGCGGUUAUCCAAGUCGGGUGUGAAAGCCUUGAGCUCAACUCAAGAAAUGCACUCGGUACUGGGUGACUAGAGGACCGGAGAGGAUAGUGGAAUUCCCAGUGUAGUGGUGAAAAUACGUAGAGAUUGGGAAGGAACACCAGUGGCGAAGGCGGCUAUCUGGACGGUUUCUGACGCUAAGACGCGAAAGCGUGGGGAGCAAACAGG